rnacentral:rRNA from 1 species
GACGAACGCUGGCGGCGUGCUUAACACAUGCAAGUCGAACGGAAAGGCCCUGCUUUUGUGGGGUGCUCGAGUGUCGCACGGGUGUGUAACACGUGAGUAACCUGCCCUUUACUUUGGGAUAUCUUCAUGAGACUCUGGCUCAUACCCUAUAUGCGCUACUUCUGCAUGUUGUGGUUUGUAAAGUUUCGGCGGUUGGGGAUGGACUCGCGGCUUAUCAGCUUGUUGGUGGGGUAGUGGCUUACCAAGGCUUUGACGGGUAGCCGGCCUGAGAGGGUGACCGGCCACAUUGGGACUGAGAUACGGCCCAGACUCCUACGGGAGGCAGCAGUGGGGAAUAUUGCACAAUGGGCGGAAGCCUGAUGCAGCAACGCCGCGUGCGGGAUGACGGCCUUCGGGUUGUAAACCGCUUUCGGCUGGGAAGAAGCGAGAGUGACGGUAAGUGGUAAAGAAGCACCGGCUAACUACGUG